CCAUGCUCUCCUUUUCCUUUUCCAAUUCAUCCCUAGUUCUUCUUUUCUUUUUUUCUUUCAGAAGAAAUAAAAUAAUAAUUUAUUAAUUCACAGAGAGAUAAGGGAAGAUGAAAAGAAGUACAGAAGGCAAACCUUUUGCGGACGUUAACUCUCUUGCCGCUGUCGCGCUCUUUCGUUAAUUUACUUUUUGGCCUACCGUGGCGCCUCCUCUCGUGCAUGUGCUUCUACUUUUCUCUGCUUCGGCGCCCUACUUCUUUCUUCUUCUCAGCCGGUCUGCUCUGCCUCUUCUUCCCCCAUUUAUUCUUUUUGUUGCUUAUGUUUUAAUUUUUGUUGUUGAUCGAUGUGAUGUUGUUGCAUAUUUAUUGUUGCCACUGCUAUGAUAUUGGCUUGAGCAUGAUUAUCGGAUGUUUACAUAAAUUAAUAUGAAUUUGAUAGUUUAAUUAUUGUUUGCAAUGAUGAUGAUGUUGUUGUUAUUGUGAAUUUGAAGAAGAAGAAGAACAGGGUGAAGAAGAGAAUUGGUGAAGGUAAUUGGAGAUUAUGUUUUUUUUAAAUAAAUAUAAAACAACGUCGUGUUGGAGAUUAGGAUUUUUUUUGUAUAAAUACAAAGCGACGUCGUUUCAGUCCUUCCGAUGGUAAGGAUGAACGGAAAUUAUUUUAGGGACUACUAUGAGUCCCGGAAAAUCUCAUAAAAAAAAAUCAAGCACCUUGAUUCUUAUGAAGUGUUCACUGAAAUAAUGACGCAUAUCAAAGGUAGCGAAGCAACAAAGACAGGUAAUAUAAGCCGCAAGGACUAUCUCAAUCUGUCUAAAAACAGAAGAUCAAGUUUGAGCGUGCGAAAAAGGGACUUGAUCUAUGAUAUCUUCGAAAACUAUGAGAACAUGAAGAUGAGCAAGGGAGAGUUUGAUAUUACUGAUUUUGUAAGCGACCUACAAAGAAGGUAUCUGCCCGAAUGUAGAGGAAGGUUUUGUUUUCUGUGGGGAUACGGCGCAGACAAUUGGACGAGGGAUCAAUUUUAGGUUCCAGGAUGUAAGGGCCCUCUUCUACAACAAGUUUUUGUUAGAGUCAAAGAGUUGGAACGAUGAGAAAUAUAAAGAGAAGGGUCAUAUUUCUUAUAUGUUCAUGUUAAUUGUUAAGUGAGAACUUUCACAGUAAUGCCAAGGUUCUUAAGUUGUCACAAAGUAUCAUUGAGCUUCUCUACCAUUUCUUCCCCCAUUCUGUGGAUAUUUUGAAGGUUGAAAGCAGUUUGAUAACUGGGGAAUCCCCCUUUUUAGGAAAUUGGAUUGAACAAUUUUUGGUAAAAAUAGAUAUGAUAAGAAUUUGAAUUCGAGGCGAUUGUGGUCCGCGAUGAUGAAACUCGAAAGGAAAUCUUGCCUCUUGUAGGGGAAAAAACUCUUGUUUUGACCAUUUUGGAGUGCAAAGGGCUUCAAUUCAAGGAUGUAUUACUGUACAACUUUUUAUCAACUUCUCCUUUGAAAAGACAAUGGAGAGUUGUAUACCAAUACACGAAGGAAAAGCAUGUAUUUUGUGCAAGUUUUGAUGAAACUAAGCACAAUGUUUUGUGCUCUGAACUUAAGCAAUUACAUGUUGCUAUAACAAGGACAAAGAAUAGAUUGUGGAUAUGUGAGGAUAAAGAAGAAUUUUCAAGACCUAUGAUCGAUUAUUGGAAAAAGAAGAAUCUUGUCCAAUUAAAGGACCAACCUAAGGCUUAUUAUUAUUGAGGCAUUGAAGAAUUACUCAACAAAUUCACAAGCGUGGAUUAAGCUAUAUAAUCAAAAUAAUUAUAGCAUGGCUACCGUGUGUGUGUUUUGUAAGAGCCGGGGACGAUUAUUGGUUGAAAAAGUGUAAAGAUGCCGCUCUUAAUGCAAUGCAAAUAUUGUUUAAUUUGCAACAAGAGAUUAUUAAUGAAGAGUGGACUCUUGUUGUCAAGUGUUUCUUUUUUCCUUUUCUGUUUAUGGCGAACUUGAAAGAGCUUGGUGUUUCAUCACAAAAGACAAAAGUGGUUAACGGCUAAUUCUAAGGCGUGGUUUGGCAUCCACCAUGAUCCACAACAAAGUGUAUGGUGGUGCCUCCUUUUUUUUUUCCCCUAAGAGGUACCAUAAAAUUCGACAUUAUAUGAGUCCAUCUAUAAAAUCAACUAUUUAUCGGUCAAUGAGUUAACUUUUAUGAAAUCUUAUUUUAACGUUAAUAUAACAUUUGCAAGUGAAAUAAAAUAUUAAGAACAAAAAAUAUGUCGAAUUCAUUUAUUUUAGGUAUAGCGCCCAAAAUUAAAGAUAAAUAUAUUUACACAAAAUGAAGUAUUGAUAGAGAUAUAUAAAUUACCCUAUUUUCCAUGCAUUUUGUUAAUGUUACAAGUGUAGAUACAAUGGAUAGAGACUCAAUACAAUGUUUGAAGAAAAGCAAAAUUAGCUUGAAAUUGAUACAAUACAUGAUGAGAAAAAAACAAGCAAAAUUAGCUUGAAAUUGAUACAAUACAUG